rnacentral:rRNA from 1 species
UACGAAGGGGGCUAGCGUUGUUCGGAUUUACUGGGCGUAAAGCGCACGUAGGCGGAUCGUUAAGUCGGGGGUGAAAUCCUGGAGCUCAACUCCAGAACUGCCUUCGAUACUGGCGAUCUUGAGUCCGGAAGAGGUGAGUGGAACUCCUAGUGUAGAGGUGGAAUUCGUAGAUAUUAGGAAGAACACCAGUGGCGGAGGCGGCUCACUGGUCCGGUACUGACGCUGAGGUGCGAAAGCGUGGGGAGCAAACAGG